AUUUNAAUGGGCGCAGCCUGAUGGAGCGACGCCGCGUGGGGGAUGAAUGGCUUCGGCCCGUAAACCCCUGUCAUUCGCGAUCAAACGUUAUUAUUUAAAAGAUGAUGACCUGAUAGUAGCGGAAGAGGAAGGGACGGCUAACUCUGUGCCAGCAGCCGCGGUAAUACAGAGGUCCCAAGCGUUGUUCGGAUUCACUGGGCGUAAAGGGUGCGUAGGUGGUGAGGUAAGUCGGAUGUGAAAGCUCGGAGCUCAACUCCGAAAUGGCAUUGGAAACUACCUUGCUCGAGGGUUGGAGGGGGGACUGGAAUACUUGGUGUAGCAGUGAAAUGCGUAGAUAUCAAGUGGAACACCAGUGGCGAAGGCGAGUCCCUGGACAACUCCUGACACUGAGGCACGAAAGCUAGGGGAGCAAACAGGAUUAGAUACCCUGGUAGUCCUAGCCGUAAACGGUGCAUGUUUGCUGUAAAAGGAAUCGACCCCUUUUGUGGCGGAGCCAACGCGUUAAACAUGCCGCCUGGGAAGUACGGUCGCAAGAUUAAAACUCAAAAAAAUUGACGGA
rnacentral:rRNA from 1 species